UCUUCCUUUUUGUCCACGUAAAAUCUGUUUCGUUUGUAGUUGGAACUAGUUUGUUUGCAUCUUCUACGGGUGUCGAAAUAAUCGUAUCCUGUUUUUUAAAUUACGCUUUGUUUUCCCGCCAUAGCAACGUCUUGUAAAUUCUAUUUACUCCUAUCUAUUACUUAGAUACAUCGUUAUCUUGAGAUGUGUUAUAAAGGCUCAUAUUUUUGAUGAGAGCUCUAAGAAGAGUCUGUAAGGAGCCGUAAAAGUAUCACUUAAAAGGUACUGUUUCUAGAACCCUCUACACUCUACAGUGUUACUAGUGGUGUUAUGGUCGCUUCUCACUGAUUACGUAUCUCACUGAUUACGUAUCGAAUUUGUUAAUCUGUGUAUCGAGAAAGGUCUUUCAAGCAAUAUAGAGUGUAUUACAUAGACAGGUGAUUUCUGCAAUGGUCCAACUAUAAGUUAAGAUCUAUAAAUAUAAAUUAAUUAAUUAAUCGAAUGAAACAGAAACAGUCGAUCUGUGAUCUGAUUGGAUUAUGUUACACCCCUAAUAUUACAUGAUCUCAUCUUGUACGAUAGGGCAUUUCUUUGUAGUUUAGCAGUUUCCGUACAGUUCGGUGUGACCUGCAGUUUAGCAGUUUCCGUACAGUUUGGUGUGACCUGCUAGGCUGACGUACAGUUUGGUGUGACCUGUAGGCUGAUGAGGCGUCACUCAAGACGUACUAUAAAACUAGUUGUUCUGGUUGCUGUGGUGAUAGUGAUAGUACAAAUUUACAAUAUUGAAGUUGAUGAAAAUACCUUCUCCAGAGACCCAUUUCCACCACAAAACAGAGCCCUCGCUUCAAAUGACCUGGUUUUAUCUACAGAGAGUUCAAGGAGUCCCUGGGACUUCACUUCAUCAGUCAAUGCGAUAAUGUCACACACCCCUAAUGAUAGAAGUAGUGAUCUGGAGGAAACUGAUGUGAAAACUUUACUCAGGACAACAUGAAGAUUUCAGACCAUGAGGCUAGCCCCGCAGCUUCUCUGUCUGUUACUUCUCAACCGACAAUACACGAUACCGCCUCUAGCCGAGCAUAUCUGACGGUGGAAGAUGAUAAUACUUUAAAAACAGUUGAUCAAAAUCCUGCCCCCCAAAAAGACUUGAAUGUUCUUUAUGAAGAGUCUGAGGAAAUUUCAGACCAUCUGAACGUAAUAGAACAGGAGUUAAAGAAAGAAGAUAAUGCAGCGAUACUCACAGAAGUUAACGGAACUUCUCAUCAAACCACUAAACCCACCCAAGCAAAUACAGCUUAUCAAGCGUUACAAAAGCGUUUGGAUGUUUUAUUCAAAGAGUCGAAGGAUGUUUUUGACCUUUUACCAAAAAAAUAUCUACCUGAUUAUAAGAGUUUUUGCUGGUAUGAUAUGCAGAACAUAUUUCAAUGUUUAGCUUCUGUUUACCUAGCAGGAAUGCCAAAAUGUGGCACCACGGACCUCUUUGAUAAGUUGAUGUGGCACCCUGAGCUGACCUCACAGUCUCAUCAUCUACUUGAUAUAAAAGUAAAUGCAAGACGUACUGAGAAAGAGUACCACUACUGGACAAGAGGACGCAUUUGCCGACCUAAGAACUUCCUCUUAAACCCGAGGGUUCCGCCUCCUAAAACACCCUUCAGUGAGUUUCUAAACGGGAGUGGGGCGGAGAGAGUGAAGAGUUACAAAGAUAGGAGAAUAGUUGAUGGAACUCCUUCUCUGCUGUGGGAUUUAGGUGGGUGGGAAACUAGGUAUCCUGGCUUAGACGAACCUCCGUACUCUAAUGCAGACUUGAUCCAUGCUGUUACACCAUAUGCUAAAAUAUUGGCCAUACUUAGAAAUCCUACUGAUAGACUAUAUUCAGAGUACAUCUAUUUCUGGAAAGGAUCAAAAAUGAGAAACGAGGUUCGAAGUCCUCAGACAUUUCACAUGGAUGUUCGCAGAGAAACUACAAAAUUUAAUAGAUGUCUUGAGAGUAAUUCACUCAGAAAUUGUUGUUACUCUUCAGGAUAUAGUCUCAGACUGCGGGUUGCUCUUGGUGUUUAUAUUUGCUAUAUCAGAGACUUUUUAGAAGUAUUUGGGGAUAAUUUUCUAGUUUUAACCAUAAAUGAAUAUCAUUCAAAUCCAAUAAACACUCUGACUAAAAUAUUCGAUCAUAUAGGCAUUUACAAACCAAAUACAGAAGAAUGGCAGCUUCGAAUAGAGACAUCUGAAACAUUAAAUGAAAAUGGAGAUACUAAAGAAGAAGUUGGCGAAAUGCUUGAUGAGACUAGAGAAUUAUUAAAUCAAUUUUACGGCCCUCAUAAUUCUGAGCUCGCUGUAUUUUUAAAAGAUUCUCAAUAUCUUUUUGCUUAAUAUUUUUUGAUACUUUGCGUUAUAAUUCUAUUACUAUUAACAAUGUUAAUUUAACAUAUAA